UACGGAGGGUGCAAGCGUUUAUCCGGAUUCACUGGGUUUAAAGGGUGCGUAGGCGGGCAGGUAAGUCAGUGGUGAAAUCUUUGGGCUUAACCCGAAAACUGCCAUUGAUACUAUCUGUCUUGAAUAUUGUGGAGGUUAGCGGAAUAUGUCAUGUAGCGGUGAAAUGCUUAGAUAUGACAUAGAACACCUAUUGCGAAGGCAGCUAACUACGCAUAUAUUGACGCUGAGGCACGAAAGCGUGGGGAUCAAACAGG
rnacentral:rRNA from 1 species